rfam:Basidiobolus meristosporus CBS 931.73 K493scaffold_583, whole genome shotgun sequence.
GUGAUGUAGUACAAGAAAUUGCUGCAGGGCAACACUUGAAGUCAGUGUUACUGGCUGAGAAUCAGCUUCUUGUGGAUAGCUUGCUGUGGUGGCAGAGGAAACUCUGGUAGAGACUUGUAGCACUUCUGACAUGCAGGUUGAUUGUUGAGUUUAUAUACGGGGAUGAUAGACUAAUAAAACAAUCUGGUAGCUGGUUUCUGCAAAGUUUCCAAUAGAAUAGCAGAAACUAGUUCAGCAACUAUAUGAGGGAUAUCAUAUGAGUAUAGAACUUAGGGAUAUGGUAUUUAAUCUACUCACAAACUUUGAAUAUGUAUGCAAUACAUGUUACUCAAGUGGAUGUGGAUUAUUUACUGAGAGUUUCUGGCAGUCAUUUCUGAUAAGAAGCACUGGCAACGCUGGAUGAGCUAAGCAUGAUGUUCAGGUGCCAGAACAUAUGCUCAUUUAGAGACCAUAAAAGGUGUAUGUUCAUCCAAACUGCAUGAUAGUGACCAUGGAGGUUGGAAUCUGAUAUGAAGUGGGCAUUGGCUCAGCUGCCAAAUGAGCUAGCUAUUAAAAUAGAUGGGGCUCAAGCAUUGUAUCUAUGCUUCACCAUCAAGGUUAAAGCCCAGCCUUGACAAGUAGUCAGGCAUGGAAGUUGUUAAGAAGCUUUGGGUGUGAUCCAAAAUCAAGUGGCCUUUGGUGCAGAUCUUGAUGCUUACAGCAAGUAUUUCAUUGGGCAACUGAAAUACUGAAGUGGAUAAGGAUUCUGUGUGAACAGCAGUUGGACAUGGGUUAGCAGAUCCUGACAGAUAGGGAAGCACUGUUUUAGAGUGUGCAACUCAAUACACUGCUUAAUGGAAGGGAAUUAGGUCAAUAAGGAAGUAAAUCAUUUAUUAUGGCAAUGUAAAUGAGCUCAGAGGUGCCUACUUAUGCCCUGAAAAGAGUUUUCUAUUCUUUUAGCAGCUUAUGGCCCUGACAUUAAAAUAAUUACUGCUGGGGUUUGACAGCUGGUAGAGCAUUACUGCUCUAUAGUGUCUUGUAUGUAUGUGUUGGCCCUUGAAAACUGUAGGGAAAGAAUCAAUUUCAUGCCUGGUGGUAGUCAUAAUUGCAUCAUGUCUCCAAGUCAAACAGCCUCCAGUU